AUUGAACGCUGGCGGCAGGCCUAACACAUGCAAGUCGAACGGUAACAGGAAGCAGCUUGCUGCUUUGCUGACGAGUGGCGGACGGGUGUGUAAUGUCUGGGAAACUGCCUGAUGGAGGGGGAUAACUACUGGAAACGGUAGCUAAUACCGCAUAACGUCGCAAGACCAAAGAGGGGGACCUUAGGGCCUCUUGCCAUCGGAUGUGCCCAGAUGGGAUUAGCUAGUAGGUGGGGUAACGGCUCACCUAGGCGACGAUCCCUAGCUGGUCUGAGAGGAUGACCAGCCACACUGGAACUGAGACACGGUCCAGACUCCUACGGGAGGCAGCAGUGGGGAAUAUUGCACAAUGGGCGCAAGCCUGAUGCAGCCAUGCCGCGUGUAUGAAGAAGGCCUUCGGGUUGUAAAGUACUUUCAGCGGGGAGGAAGGGAGUAAAGUUAAUACCUUUGCUCAUUGACGUUACCCGCAGAAGAAGCACCGGCUAACUCCGUG
rnacentral:rRNA from 1 species